rnacentral:lncRNA from 1 species
AGUUUGUUUUCUUACAAAGGGACAAUUUACAAAGGUGUGUGCAAGGAGUAGGGAGACCACGAAGGAAUCCUGCAAGUGCCCGGAGCUAGAAGCAGUAGAGCUGUUUUCACCCUACACCCAAAAGGACAAGAAGAGGAGGGAGAGGUUACUGGACCUCUGAAGAGAGAAUCUUGGAGAGCAGGCCCACCUUGAGGGGAGCUGUGUUAUUCUGAUGAGAAACACUGCCUGCGAUAUGCUAGGACAUGUGGGAGCUGAUUGUUCAUGUCUUUUCCCGACUCGGCCUUCAGUGAUGUAACAUUGGUAGCCACACAGGUUGUGGUGGUGAUAUUAUACCGCAGAAAUCAGUGAAUACUACAAACCAGAACUUUUUCUUUUCUUCUUUUCAGAGAGCCAGUUGUUAAACAUUUACAAGCACACUACUGGACACAGCCAGCCUGAGACAACCUCUUGAUGUGGGAGCUAAGAAAAACUCACACACAGACCUCACUCUCAAGAUAGAAGGAGGACCCGACUCCCCCAGGAGUCUCUUGGUGUGUGCUACUCGAACCAUCAAGCAUGUCUCCAGUUUCUUCGUUUCUGUGCAGAAGCUCGGUGCUGAGGACGUAGGAGACCAGCAGUAGCAGAAGCCAUAGCUUGGAUGGAAUGAGGUGGCACAUGGAAUUGUACGCAAAUCCUGUGGGGAGGGACAUGUACCAGAUACAAGUCAAGGGUUCUCUUUGGGGACGAAGGUCAGGAUCCGGAUAUGCCCUGUUCAUCUAUAUAACACCAUAA